CACACGACUCUCGGCAACGGAUAUCUCGGCUCUCGCAUCGAUGAAGAACGUAGCAAAAUGCGAUACCUGGUGUGAAUUGCAGAAUCCCGCGAACCAUCGAGUUUUUGAACGCAAGUUGCGCCCGAGGCCUUCUGGUUGAGGGCACGCCUGCCUGGGCGUCACGCCAA
rnacentral:rRNA from 1 species